rnacentral:rRNA from 1 species
GACGAACGCUGGCGGCGUGCCUAAUACAUGCAAGUCGAGCGGACAGAAGGGAGCUUGCUCCCGGAAGUUAGCGGCGGACGGGUGAGUAACACGUGGGCAACCUACCCUGUAGAUCGGGAUAACAUCGAGAAAUCGGUGCUAAUACCGGAUAAUCAUUUGAAGUGCAUGCUUCGAAUGUAAAAGAUGGCUCCGGCUAUCACUACGGGAUGGGCCCGCGGCGCAUUAGCUAGUUGGUAAGGUAAUGGCUUACCAAGGCAACGAUGCGUAGCCGACCUGAGAGGGUGAUCGGCCACACUGGGACUGAGGCACGGCCCAGACUCCUACGGGAGGCAGCAGUAGGGAAUCUGCCGCAAUGGACGAAAGUCUGACGGAGCAACGCCGCGUGAGUGAUGAAGGUUUUCGGAUCGUAAAGCUCUGUUGUUAGGGAAGAACAAGUGCCGUUUGAAUAAGGCGGCACCUUGACGGUACCUAACCAGAAAGCCACGGCUAACUACGUGCCAGCCGCCGCGGUAAUAC